rnacentral:rRNA from 1 species
AUUGAACGCUGGCGGCAGGCCUAACACAUGCAAGUCGAACGAGUGGCGGACGGGUGAGUAAUGUCUGGGAAACUGCGUGAGGGGGGGGGAUAACUACUGGAAACUGUAGCUAAUACCGCAUUCUCUCAUAUGUCCCCAGAUGGGAUUAGCUAGUUGGGGGGGUAACGGCUCACCAAGGCGACGAUCCCUAGCUGGUCUGAGAGGAGGAACAGCCACACUGGUACUGAGACACGGUCCAGACUCCUACGGGAGGCAGCAGUGGGGAAUAUUGCACAAUGGGCGCAAGCCUGAUGCAGCCAUGCCGCGUGUAUGAAGAAGGCCUUCGGGUUGUAAAGUACUUUCAGCGGGGAGGCGUUACCCGCAGAAGAAGCACCGGCUAACUCCGUGCCAGCCGCCGCGGUAAUAC